rnacentral:rRNA from 1 species
GAUCCUGGCUCAGAUUGAACGCUGGCGGCAUGGCUAAAACAUGCAAGUCGAACGCGAACGGAGAGCUUGCUUUCCAAGUAGAGUGGCGAAAGGGCGAGGACAACGUUUCUAACGUACCCCAGAGUCAGGGAUAGCCCAGGGAAACUUGGAUUAAUACCUGAUGACCCCCGCAGAUCGUAUGUUCAGCGGGGCAAAGGCUUGUCGCCUCGGGAGCGGGGAACGCCCUAUCAGGUUGUUGGUGGGGUAAUGGCCUACCAAGCCUUAGACGGGUAGCGGGUGUGAGAGCAUGACCCGCCGCAUCGGAACUGAGACACUGUCCGGACUCCUACGGGAGGCUGCAGUAACGAAUAUUCCACAAUGGGCGAAAGCCUGAUGGAGCAAUGCCGCGUGUGGGAUGAAGCAUCUAGGUGUGUAAACCACUGUCAGGAGCUAGGAACACAAUGACCAGCUCCAAGGAAGGGCCGGCUAACUUCGUGCCAGCAGCCGCGGUAAUACGAAGGGCCCGAGCGUUGCGCGGAAUCACUGGGCUUAAAGCGUGCGCAGGCGGAUAUGCAAGUACCUUGUGAAAUCCCACGGCUCAACCGUGGAACUGCUUGGUAAACUGUGUAUCUUGAGAUCGGUAGGGGUUGCCGGAACGCUAGGUGUAGCGGUGAAAUGCGUAGAUAUCUAGGGAACGCCAAAGGUGAAGACAGGCCACUGGGCCGAUUCUGACGCUGAGGCACGAAAGCGUGGGUAGCGAACGGGAUUAGAUACCCCGGUAGUCCACGCCCUAAACGAUGUGUACUAGAUCGUGAAGACUCUGACGUCGGCACGGUCGAAGCAAAAGUUUUUAAGUGUACCGCCUGGGGAGUACGGUCGCAAGGCUAAAACUCAAAGGAAUUGACGGGGGCUCACACAAGCGGUGGAGCAUGUGGCUUAAUUCGAAACAACGCGAAGAACCUUAUCCUGGAUUUGACAUGCUAUGGAUUAGCUCUGUGAAAGCAGAGUGACGCCCUUUGGGUGGAACAUACACAGGUGCUGCAUGGCUGUCGUCAGCUCGUGCUGUGAAGUGUUGGGUUAAGUCCCUUAACGAGCGAAACCCUUAUCUUUAGUUGCCAGCGCGUAAUGGCGGGGACUGGACUCUAGAGAGACUGCCGGUGUUAAACCGGAGGAAGGCGGGGAUGACGUCAAGUCCUCAUGGCCUUUAUGUCCAGGGCUGCACACGUGCUACAAUGGGAACUACAAAGUGAAGCGAUACAGUAAUGUGGAGCAAAUCGCAUAAAAGUUUCCUCAGUUCGGAUUGUGGUCUGCAACUCGACCACAUGAAGUUGGAAUCGCUAGUAAUCGCGUAUCAGCUACGACGCGGUGAAUACGUUCCUGAGCCUUGUACACACCGCCCGUCAAGUCAUGGAAGCUGGAAGCACCCGAAGGAGUACUAAUUCAAGUAUUCCUACAGUGAGUUUGGUGACUGGGACUAAGUCGUAACAAGGUAGCCA